GCCGAGGUAUCCAAGUGGUUACGGAGACGGUCUCGAAAACCGUUGCCCUUGAGGCUCGUGAGUUCGAAUCUCAUCCUCGGCGCCA
rnacentral:tRNA from 1 species